AAGAACAACAAGAACACCUCCGUCUCGUCCCCGGAUUCCGGCGGCUGGCCAUCACGAAUCUCAUACUCCGGCGAGCCACCACACUAGCUCGUCCUUCACCACCACAUCCACCACCAUCACACCUACAAAUCACUAGAAAUUGUUCGCCGCCUUUAUUCCUCCGCGCUGUGAAGCAUACUCGCCGAUUUCAUUCUUUCGUUUUCAAAAGCCUCUCUGGUAAUCUUUCGAUUUCAUUCUUUUUUCUUCUCACCGAUUUCAUAAGCUACUUGCAUUACUUCUCACUGAUUUUGAUUUCUUCAUUUCUUCUUCUCUUAGGUGGGUUCAAUUCCUCAAAUUUUGAUCUUGCAUGUUUGAAAUCUUCCCUGAAAUUGGAUCUUUGGAUGUCAAUCAGGUACCUAGAAUAAUAUCAUCUCUCUUUCAUACUAUUUUUCGUUAUUUAUUUUAAUUUUUGCAGAAUGCAUUCCAGUGAUAAAAUUGAAUUUUUAUCAAUUGGUUCAGAUUAAUCAAACCCCAUAUGAAUUUUGUGUAUUUUGUGCAAAACAAAGUUAAAGCUUUGAUUUUUAAUGAUUUAUGUUUUGUGGGGUUUGUUUGUUUGUGUUGGACAGGUAGUUGAAGUUUCAACUUCAAAUCUGGAAAACAUGGACAUGUUAAGUGUUGCUUUGUUGGUUUUCACAUCUUCACUGGCCAAAAACAUGAAGAUAUUGUUCCUUCUUCUCAUAACUGUCAUGCAUGGUUUUCAUUUUAAUAUGAGGUUAUUUUUUGGGUUUGGAAUAUAUUUUUAAUUAGUGAUUAACUAAGAUGUGUUUGUUUGUUAUUACAACAGGUUCCUCAUAUCAAUUGUACUCAUAAACUUGCUAAAUAUGAGGUAGUUCGGCGGCAGCUUCCGACACAGAGGUAAGGAUUUGUUUCUAUGUAAUUAAAACCAUGGCUAUCACUAAUUAGCUGCAUACUAUUCUUACCAAAUAAUUAUUGAUUUGUUUCUAUGUAUAUGCAGGGAACAAUCUUUGUUAAAUUUUGUAGCUUUACUGUGCUGUUUCGAUUUUUUUUUAUUAAAGAUUACAUUUUUACUUUGUUUUGUUUGAAUUCUUUUUCUACUCUUUUUAUCGAUUUUGAUUCAUGGGUUUGGAAAUUACAACUAUGCAAUAGAGUUUAAACUUGAAUUAGGUGUCACUGUUAACAAUAUUAUUUAAAUGCACUCCUGUCUUUGAGUAGAGAAAAGUCUAGAUAUGGCCGCAAGAAGAAAAUGCUUUUGAUUGAUCUCUUUGAGAAUUGUAAUAAUUUUCAGCAUUGUCCUUGUGAUCAGAAGUUGUUGGAACACCAAAAUAUAACAAUUUUACAUAUGCUGAUGUACAUAUCCAUAAGUUCACUUGCCAACUGAACUAUGAAGCUGAAUUUUAAUUGUUGUACUCAUGCUGGCUAGAUAUUGUGGUAGUUUUUCUCUUAAGUGACAGGGGAGACAUGAUGGGUUGGCUUUUUUGAGUUAAAUUGUGUUCUGGGUCAAUUUAAAGUUUAUAGCAUAUAGGUUUGCUUACAGCAUAGGGUAUAGUGCUUUACUGAAUUGCUUAUUCAUUAUUUUUUUAAUGUUAUGUAUUAUAGAGGUUUAUUUAAGGUGGUAACGGAAGGAGGAUUUGAUGCCAUUAUUUCAGUGAACUCUUGUGACCAUGUUGAUGAAUUCCUUGAUUUUAUGUAUUGCCAUGGUUAAUAAUACGUAGCUUGGUGUUGCAAUAGAAGUUGUGUUACCUUCUUAUUUCNN
rnacentral:lncRNA from 1 species